UACGUAGGGUGCAAGCGUUGUCCGGAAUUAUUGGGCGUAAAGAGCUCGUAGGCGGCGUGUCGCGUCGGCUGUGAAAACCUAGGGCUCAACCCUGGGCCUGCAGCCGAUACGGGCAAGCUAGAAUUCGGUAGGGGAGACUGGAAUUCCUGGUGUAGCGGUGAAAUGCGCAGAUAUCAGGAGGAACACCGGUGGCGAAGGCGGUUCUCUGGGCCUGACCUGACGCUGAGGAGCGAAAGCGUGGGGAGCGAACAGG
rnacentral:rRNA from 1 species